CCGCCAACACAGGGUGGGGUUUAUCAGAGACUACCUCCAGAAUUUGGGAGUGGAGAGGAUGGAAUGGCCUGCCAGCAGUCUUGACCUCACCCCCAUUGAACACUUGUGGGAUCAGCUUGGGCGUGCUGUUGGUGCCAGAGUGACAAACACAACCGUGUUGGCUGACUUUUGACAAAUGUUGGUUGAAGAACGGGACGCCAUCCCACAGCAGUGUGUGACCAGGCUGGUGACCAGCAUGAGGAGGAGGUGCCAGACUGGCUCUGUAUAGUUCUUUCACACGCUAAUGACACUCCUGUUUGUCAAAUGAAUAAAUUAUGAAAUUGCCAAAAUGUCUUGUUACUUCAGAC